rnacentral:rRNA from 1 species
UUAACCUCAAAUCAGGUGGGACUACCCGCUGAACUUAAGCAUAUCAAU